rnacentral:sRNA from 1 species
UUUUAAUUCCUUUGGCUAAGAGUGUCGAAUUUAUAUACAGUAAGACUUCUAUAAAUUAAUACUCGAUAAAUUAAUAACCUCUAUAAAUUAAUAAAUUCUUUUGAUCUCGGGUUGGACCAGUGUAAAAAUUGAUACAAAUCGAUAAAUUAAUAAGAUAUUUUUUUUGAAAAUCCUAUGUAAAUAUAUGGUCCCAUCAAUAUUAUAAAUUAAUAAUUGUAUAAAU